GACGAACGCUGGCGGCGUGCCUAAUACAUGCAAGUAGAACGCACAGUUUAUACCGUAGCUGCUACACCAUAGACUGUGAGUUGCGAACGGGUGAGUAACGCGUAGGUAACCUGCCUGGUAGCGGGGGAUAACUAUUGGAAACGAUAGCUAAUACCGCAUAAUAUUAAUUAUUGCAUGAUAAUUAAUUGAAAGGUGCAAUUGCACCACUACCAGAUGGACCUGCGUUGUAUUAGCUAGUAGGUGAGGUAACGGCUCACCUAGGCGACGAUACAUAGCCGACCUGAGAGGGUGAUCGGCCACACUGGGACUGAGACACGGCCCAGACUCCUACGGGAGGCAGCAGUAGGGAAUCUUCGGCAAUGGACGAAAGUCUGACCGAGCAACGCCGCGUGAGUGAAGAAGGUUUUCGGAUCGUAAAGCUCUGUUGUAAGAGAAGAACGGGUGUGAGAGUGGAAAGUUCACACUGUGACGGUAUCUUACCAGAAAGGGACGGCUAACUACGUG
rnacentral:rRNA from 1 species